CGCUGGCGGCGUGCCUAAUACAUGCAAGUCGAACGGUCUUUCUAUGGAAGCUUGCUUCCACUGAGAAGAUAGUGGCGAACGGGUGAGUAACACGUGGGUAACCUGCCCAUAAGAGGGGGAUAACAUCCGGAAACGGGUGCUAAUACCGCAUAGUUUUCUUGAUCGCAUGAUCGGGAAAGGAAAGACGGCCUUUGUGCUGUCGCUUAUGGAUGGACCCGCGGCGUAUUAGUUAGUUGGUGAGGUAACGGCUCACCAAGACGAUGAUACGUAGCCGACCUGAGAGGGUGAUCGGCCACAUUGGGACUGAGACACGGCCCAAACUCCUACGGGAGGCAGCAGUAGGGAAUCUUCCGCAAUGGACGAAAGUCUGACGGAGCAACGCCGCGUGAGUGAAGAAAGGUUUUCGGAUCGUAAAACUCUGUUGUCAGAGAAGAACAAGUUGGAGAGUAACUGCUCCAGCCUUGACGGUAUCUGACCAGAAAGCCACGGCUAACUACGUGCCAGCCGCAGC
rnacentral:rRNA from 1 species